UGCCCGAAUGGACGAGAGACUUAAAACAAUACAUAAGAAUCCUGUCAUCAAAGUACCCACGGGAUGGAAUGCUCAACCACAUCAAACCUGUCAUCAAUGUUUUGGAACGCAAUCAUAAAGUGAAAAUAAAAGAUAUUGACGUUGACAAACGAGGUA